UACAGCGUGUCUACUGAUGUAUUGUAAUAGAGGAAACGCAAAUACUGUAUAAUUCACUUGUAUAAAAAACCACGUUGAAACCAGUUAAAACUCAAUAGAAAUGCUCACUUAUGAAACUGUACACCGACACGUGCUUGUCUCUUCAGCGGUAAAAUGCAGAAUGGAUUACAAAUAGCAGAAUUUGGAAUGAAUUGCGCUAAACAUGGAUUUAUUGCUGUGCAUGUUGGAGCAGGAAAACAUUCAGAAACACUCAAAGAUAAAUAUCAGAAAUUAUGUCGUGUAGCAUGUGAAGCAGCAAUUAGUACUUUGAAAUCUGGAGGUAGUGCUUUGGAUGCAGUUUCUGAUGCUACGGUGGUGCUGGAAAACUCGUCAUUAACAAAUGCUGGAUUUGGUUCAAAUCUUACAAUUGAUGGGAGAGUAGAAUGUGAUGCCAGUGUAAUGGAUGGCUUGAGUUUACAAUUUGGUGCAGUUGGUGCAGUUGGAGGUAUAAAAAAUCCAGUUUUAUUGGCAAAAUGUUUGUGUCAACAACAAGCUGUUAGAAUUUCAUGUGGAAGAGUUCCACCUAGUAUUUUAGUUGGAGCUGGCGCACAUGAUUGGGCAAAAGAAAUGGGAAUACAAGUUCUCCCACCAGAUAAUUUGAUAUCCGUAAAGGCCCGAAAGGUAUACAAGCACUAUAAAAGAAAAGUGGAUGAUCAUGGAGACGAAAUGUUAAAGCAAGUAAAAAAAAGAAUGGAUACAGUGGGUGCAGUGUGUGUUGAUGAAUUUGGAAAUAUUGCAUCGGCUUGCUCUAGUGGUGGAAUUAUCUUAAAAUACCCUGGAAGAGUGGGACAGGCUGGCGUAUGGGGCAGUGGAGUAUGGGCACAAAAUGCAGAUUACUCAGUGGGUUCAAGUUCGACAGGAUGCGGCGAACAUCUCAUCCGCACGACAUUAGCUCGUUCAGUUGCAGAAGCUAUUUCUAAAACAUCAUGUCCUACAACAGGAUUGCAUCAGACCAUGAAAAAUGAUUUUAUAGAAAUUAUUGUGCUGGUAGAUUCAAUGUUUUUACGUGGAUUGGAACAAAAGCUUGGUGGGGUCAUCGUUAUCAAGUAUUCAUCAUUGGAAGGAUUUGGUGAUGUCCUUUGGAGUCAUUCGACUAACUCAAUGAUUAUUGGAUAUAUGAAUUCUAAUGAACGAACCGCCACGAGCCGCAUGUCGGUGUUGCCGCAAGAUGAAGUCGGAAAGAAAGCAAUAGUAGAAGGAGUUUGCUUCAAAAUUACGCGAACGCUUCCUUCUGAAGAUGUUAACUGAUUGUAAAACAAUCAAGUCUCCUAAGAGUUAUUAUUUCGACAAGGUUGACACGUAUUACGAUGAUGACGAACUAACAACAAGAAAUCAUAUGUUGCUCAGUAAUUAAUUCUAAUAUAAUUAUCUAGACCUCAUCGAUCAACCAGCACCUGAUAGCAAUUCCGUGUCUUUUUUUUGCUGAUAUAUAAAAUAAUUAAUAGUUAUGUAAAAUAAUAAUAGGCGCCUCCAUAGUACCAAGUGUUGACCGACAUAAUAUUAUGAUGUUAAAUAUUAAUUGACGUAUUCCACAGAAGUCGAGCUGAUUCUUGGUAUGAAAAAGUAACCCCUUUUCUAAAUUUUAAUAAAAAAUAAAUAAAUCAACAGCAACGGGUCACACGAGUUUCAUAAGUGUUGUCAAGUGUCUCAUAUAUGACCCAAGCAAUGGCAAAAUAAUUCUUUAUUAAUUCAAGGCAGUCUUCUUUGAGUUUUUGCUAAGAUUUAACAGCGGCAUAGCUAUAAUCAUUAGCCGAGUAAGUGCUUAUAUAGCAAUGCUCACUCUGUAAGCAUUUCUGAAUGCACAAGGUUAAUAAUAAUUAAAUGAACCGUUCUUAAAUUCCCAUUGAACGAGGCCAUGCCGAAGAUAUAUCGUACAUAUAAUUCAAUGAUACAGUAAUCGAAACGAUUCAACUAGAAUGCGGAAUAAUCAUCGAAAAGAAAAAAGAGGAAAAACGUGUAUUAGCGCCACAGUGACAAGACGUAUAUUUUAUUCAAUUUCGAAAUGCACCUGUCACCGGAACUGACGAGCAUCGACGUAUUCAUCGACGGAAGACGGUCGCACGAUGGACAUCAACGUCUACAGUCAAUAUGAAGAUAUUUUAACAACUGGUUGUCAAGGAACGAAAAAAAAAUGAAUUUUGGCUGUGACGAUAAACCCUGGAUAUAUCAAGUCUUAAGUUAAUGGAUUACGGUGUAUCUCUUUACUCCUCCUAUGGCUUCUUCCUUAAUUUCGAAAGUACAUGACGUCACCGUAUUACGCCAAGACAUUCAGAAAUCUUGGAAGUUCCUUUCGAAUAAAUUAUCACAAAAUUACAUUAACUCUACUACAGAGUUCGCGCGACGUUGUAUAAAUCAAAAUAUAAAAAAGACCACAAAUUCCGUUGCUAAAAUUAGACAACAA